rnacentral:rRNA from 1 species
UACGUAGGGUGCGAGCGUUGUCCGGAAUUAUUGGGCGUAAAGAGCUUGUAGGCGGUUUGUCGCGUCUGCCGUGAAAUUUCGGGGCUCAACCCCGAACUUGCGGUGGGUACGGGCAGACUAGAGUGUGGUAGGGGAUACUGGAAUUCCUGGUGUAGCGGUGAAAUGCGCAGAUAUCAGGAGGAACACCGAUGGCGAAGGCAGGUCUCUGGGCCACUACUGACGCUGAGAAGCGAAAGCAUGGGGAGCGAACAGG